AGAAACACUUGUUCUCCUAUGAUCACCGAAGUUAAGCAACGUCGAGCCUGGUCAGUACCUAGAUGGGUGUCUGCUUGGGAACACCGGGUGCUGUAG